UACGGGGGGGGCAAGCGUUGUUCGGAAUUACUGGGCGUAAAGGGCUCGUAGGCGGCCAACUAAGUCGGACGUGAAAUCCCCGAGCUCAACUCGGGAACUGCGUCCGAUACUGGCGGGCUUGAAUCCGGGAGAGGGAUGCGGAAUUCCAGGUGUAGCGGUGAAAUGCGUAGAUAUCUGGAGGAACACCGGUGGCGAAGGCGGCAUCCUGGACCGGCAUUGACGCUGAGGCGCGAAAGCUAGGGGAGCAAACGGG
rnacentral:rRNA from 1 species